rnacentral:misc_RNA from 1 species
GAAAUGCGAUAAGUAAUGUGAAUUGCAGAAUUCAGUGAAUCAUCGAAUCUUUGAACGCACAUUGCGCCCGCCAGCACUCUGGCGGGCAUGCCUGUUCGAGCGUCAUUUCAACCCUCAAGCUCAGCUUGGUGUUGGGACUCGCGGUAACCCGCGUUCCCCAAAUCGAUUGGCGGUCACGUCGAGCUUCCAUAGCGUAGUAAUCAUACACCUCGUUACUGGUAAUCGUCGCGGCCACGCCGUAAAACCCCAACUUCUGAAUGUUGACCUCGGAUCAGGUAGGAAUACCCGCUGAACUUAAGC